rnacentral:lncRNA from 1 species
UAUUUUUCAAAGUUUACGUUGUUAGUAUAUAUAAUAUUAAAAGCUAUUAUAUUAUGUUUGAGUUGCUCUAUAUUUAUUCUCUAUUUUUUUGUUGUAAAGAAAACGUGCUUAUGAGAAUAUAUCUAAUCGUGGAUUGUGUUGUGGGUAUAUUGGUAUCUUAAGUAUCACUCAAAGAUUGAAUUUCAAGAUUACUGAAGUUAUGUGCUUGAAAGCCGAUAAUUUUUUUAUCAAGCACCCAAUAUCGGUUGGAAAGGUGUUGCAGAAGGGAUAUACUUUAGAAGUGUUUUAUCAUUUGGGAAACUGAUGAUAAGAAGAGGCAGUGACUGGAGUCUAAAUAGAACCUUGUGAUUAGUCUUGUGAUAUUAUCGCUGCUUCUCCCUAUUUAAUUUGGUGGAGCAUGCACAAGCUUUAGUAGAGCUGAGUUUUCGAAGUUUUGGAUGUUGGACCAUGAAAAAUGGAUUCUUGAAGUAGUAAAGGAUAAACUAAGUCUCGAUUUUGGUGACAAAGUGUUGAGUGUCUAGUAUGUGCAGGAUGGUAGGUUCAUAUAUUUGUAUGUCACGGGGGAAGAAUCAGGCUGUAGGAAUGGAUGGAUAUUGAAUCAUUGAGAAAUAUGAAAAGGAGAUCUCUGAAAUUGUAGCAUGGACAGUAACAGAAAGGCAAAGCCAAGAACGAAGGUGAAGGGAUUUGGAAAUUCAUACGGAUUUUUCCUUACUCCAGGUAUGUUAAGGCUAAGCUCUUCUUUCAUUUGGCAUGAUCUCGUCAUUACAUUCAUAUCCCAGAAUUUACGUAUAUUUUGCUAGUCUCGCAAAUUGCGUAUAUUUUUCUAGUAUUGUAAGUUAUAAUAUUCUCUUUAUCGGGACUUUAUAUUCAAAUGAGUAUUUCCUUCUACCAGUCAAGAGAGCAGAGAAAUUACAUAUAUAUAAUAUUAAAAGUAUUUUCAUUACCAUCGAGCUAUAAUCGAUGGGCAAGCCCUAUCGGGCAACUUCUGAUCAGAUGGUAAGUUAUAUAUCGAGCCUACUAUGGUCGAGCGCUUAUAAGCGAGCCCAAUUGGUCGAGAUACAGAGCCUAGUAUGGUCGAGCGCUUAUGAGCGAGUCUACUACGGCAGAGCAGAUAUAUUAUGUAUACCGAGCCUUAUAGGGUCGGACAACUAUUUUACUUACUAUAUUGAGAGAGUUGAGUCAGUAUCAGCAGGUAAGCAUAUCUUCAUAUUAUCUUUGACUUCCAGUUACUUACAGUUAUUAUAUUAUCAGUUCAAUUUCAGCUUUCAGUAUAUUGCCUUACAUACUCAGUACAUUAUUUCGUACUGACAUCCCAUUUCUCGGGGCGCUGCAUUUUAUGCGUGCAGGUCAGAUAGACAGACGGGUAGGCAUCCUCAAUAAGUGUUGCCCGAGUUCAGCUUGAUUGGUAAGCUCCAUGCCUUUCGGAGUUUCCGGGUCUAGAGCCUUAUGUACAUCUGGUAUAUAUAUAUAUAUGUAUAUAUAUAUUAUGAGUCGGUCGGGAAGAUGUUCCGAUCACAAUAUACCCAUCAGUAGGCUUGUAGACAUAUCAUGUCAGUUAGUGCAAUAUGUUAUGCUUGCAAGCCUUGUAUGUAUAUUUGAUUAGUUUGUCAGCUAUAAUAGUUAUGACGGCCUUGUCGGCCCAGUUAUAUAUUGACAUUUAGUCAGCACUCGCAUUUAUCUUGCAAUGAGGCCCAUAGCCAAAGUAUGACAUCAUAUGUUUAGAGUCCCUUAGUUGCUAUGACAUCAUAAGUAUGACAUCUUCAAGUUAGUACGCUAUGAUAUGAGAGGCACUAGGUGCCAGUCUCGCCCUCAGGUUUGGGGCAUGACAAUGUUAUGAGAGAGUUAAUGCACGAAGGGUGAUGUCGUGCACUUGUUUGCUAUGUUAUUACUUCUGUUGGUGCAAAGCAUGAUAUUUACUGCGUUCCUUUACUGUACUAUUUUCAGGAUUUGAUAUUCCCUUCAGCAUGUUUUCCCCAUUUCCAUUAUUAUCUGUUAAAUUUAUAAUUGUUGUUAUUUUCUCGUAUACGGUUUAACUGCACAGGUUCGUGUUAUUAUAGUGUCCUAGCUUCGUCACUACUUUACGGAGGCUAGGCUCGGCACUUACCAAUACCUGGGGUCGAGUGUGCUGAUGAUGUACUCUGCACUUUCUGUGUAGAUUACGGUACUGGACCGUAUUGAUCAGAGUUGGGUUGCUGCAUCCAGUCUACAGGAGACCCAAGGUAGAUCUGCUAGCGUUCGCAGACCCUGGAGUCCCCUUCCAGUUAUC